AUUGUACACCUUGGAGCUAUUAGAACAAGUUUAAGAACUCCGAAGUGUAAGUAGUGUUCUACAUGAGUGGCAAGCUUUUUGCUAACACUCCAUUCUGGCCCAGUGAAUGGAGCUUCAUAGUAACCCUUGCUACAAGU
rnacentral:snoRNA from 1 species